AUGAUUCGUGGGACUUCCUUCCGGUGCUGUCUAGCUGAACGAGUGCUCUUUUUUUGGUUUUCCACUUCGGUUCUUGCGCGCCCGAGGCGGACCCCGAUGAAAUCCUACCGCGGUGCUCUUCACCGAGUGUCGAGGUGGGCCGGCACGUUUACUUUGAACAAAUUAGAGUGCUUAAAGCAGGCCUGUUGCGCCUGAAUACUGUGUGCAUGGAAUAAUGGAAUAGGACCUCGGUUCUAUUUUGUUGGUUUUCGGAACCCGAGGUAAUGAUUAAUAGGGACAGGCGGGGGCAUUCGUAUUGCGACGUUAGAGGUGAAAUUCUUGGAUCGUCGCAAGACGGACCGAAGCGAAAGCAUUUGCCAAGUAUGUUUUCAUUAAUCAAAACGAAAGUUAGAGGUUCGAAGGCGAUCAGAUACCGCCCUAGUUCUAACCAUAAACGAUGCCAGCUAGCGAUCCGCCGAAGUUCCUCCGAUGACUCGGCGGGCAGCUCCCGGGAACCAAAGCUUUUGGGUUCCGGGGGAAGUAUGGUUGCAAA
rnacentral:rRNA from 1 species